UACGGGGGGGGCAAGCGUUGUUCGGAAUUACUGGGCGUAAAGGGCCAGUAGGCGGCCAACUAAGUCCGACGUGAAAUCCCCAGGCUUAACCUGGGAACUGCGUCGGAUACUGGAUGGCUUGAAUUCGGGAGAGGGAUGCAGAAUUCCAGGUGUAGCGGUGAAAUGCGUAGAUAUCUGGAGGAAUACCGGUGGCGAAGGCGGCAUCCUGGACCAUUACUGACGCUGAGGCGCGAAAGCUAGGGGAGCAAACGGG
rnacentral:rRNA from 1 species